rnacentral:rRNA from 1 species
GACGAACGCUGGCGGCGUGCUUAACACAUGCAAGUCGAACGGGAAGGCCCUGCUUUUGUGGGGUGCUCGAGUGGCGAACGGGUGAGUAUCACAUGAGUAACCUGCCCUUGACUUUGGGAUAACUUCAGGAAACUGGGGCUAAUACCGGAUAGGAGCUCCUGCUGCAUGGUGGGGGUUGGAAAGUUUCGGCGGUUGGGGAUGGACUCGCGGCUUAUCAGCUUGUUGGUGGGGUAGUGGCUUACCAAGGCUUUGACGGGUAGCCGGCCUGAGAGGGUGACCGGCCACAUUGGGACUGAGAUACGGCCCAGACUCCUACGGGAGGCAGCAGUGGGGAAUAUUGCACAAUGGGCGGAAGCCUGAUGCAGCAACGCCGCGUGCGGGAUGACGGCCUUCGGGUUGUAAACCGCUUUCGCCUGUGACGAAGCGUGAGUGACGGUAAUGGGUAAAGAAGCACCGGCUAACUACGUG